rnacentral:rRNA from 1 species
GACGAACGCUGGCGGCGUGCCUAAUACAUGCAAGUAGAACGCACAGUUUAUACCGUAGCUUGCUACACCAUAGACUGUGAGUUGCGAACGGGUGAGUAACGCGUAGGUAACCUGCCUAGUAGCGGGGGAUAACUAUUGGAAACGAUAGCUAAUACCGCAUAUUAUUGAUUAUUGCAUGAUAAUUGAUUGAAAGAUGCUAUUGCAUCACUACCAGAUGGACCUGCGUUGUAUUAGCUAGUAGGUGAGGUAACGGCUCACCUAGGCGACGAUACAUAGCCGACCAGAGAGGGUGAUCGGCCACACUGGGACUGAGACACGGCCCAGACUCCUACGGGAGGCAGCAGUAGGGAAUCUUCGGCAAUGGACGAAAGUCUGACCGAGCAACGCCGCGUGAGUGAAGAAGGGUUUCGGAUCGUAAAGCUCUGUUGUAAGAGAAGAACGGGUGUGAGAGUGGAAAGUUCACACUGUGACGGUAUCUUACCAGAAAGGGACGGCUAACUACGUG